rnacentral:rRNA from 1 species
UACAGAGGUCUCAAGCGUUGUUCGGAUUCAUUGGGCGUAAAGGGUGCGUAGGUGGCGCGGUAAGUCGGGGUGUGAAAUUUCGGAGCUUAACUCCGAAACUGCAUUCGAUACUGCCGUGCUUGAGGACUGGAGAGGAGACUGGAAUUUACGGUGUAGCGGUGAAAUGCGUAGAUAUCGUAAGGAAGACCAGUGGCGAAGGCGGGUCUCUGGACAGUUCCUGACGCUGAGGCACGAAGGUCAGGGGAGCAAACGGGG